rnacentral:rRNA from 1 species
UUUGACCCUCGAACCUCUUCCUGUCGUGUGUGGGCGGAGUAUACUUUUUGCGACCCCAGGUCAGGCGGGGCUACCCGCUGAGUUUAAGCAUAUC